AUACACAUCCAAAGAAAAGUUUUUAAAAAUGUCAGGAGCUAUACCUUCCAACAUUUCAAAGAUGAAAACUGGGGCACAUGAGUGCCAAGAAGUGAGGUUUCCCCUAAGACACUGAUGAGAAACUGCAAAAGACUUGGAGUCAUAAUUGCCUUUCUUAAGUGAUGGCAAAAAGAAGUUCAUCAUUGCAACUCUACAACACUUAAUGCAGUCAAAAGCCCAGCAGAAAUCAACGAGGAUGAAAUUGUAACCUUGUUUGCAAUACAUAUAAAAUAUUCUAAAUGUCAUUUAUCUAUAUGUUGCUCGUUGAUCUAGGCUGCUUUUCAAAAUAUGUUUUUCCAAUGUAGCUUGGGCAAGUCAUACAGCCUUUUUUUAAUUGCAGAAGAAAAGAAUUAGAAAUGAGGUUUUGGGA
rnacentral:lncRNA from 1 species